ACUCCUACGGAGGCAGCAGUGGGGAAUCAUGGUCAAUGGGCGAAAGCCUGAACCUGCGACGCCGCGUGAGUGAUGAAGGUCGUAAGAUCGUAAAACUCUUUUCAGGGAACUUAAAGCUCCGGCUCUAACAGAGCCUGGAGUCUGACUAUCCCUGGAAUAAGCCCCAGCCAACUACGUGCCAGCAGCUGCGGUAAUACGUAGGGGGCGAGCGUUAUUCGGAAUUACUGGGUGUAAAGGGUAUGUAGGCGGCCUCACAAGUCGCGUGUAAAAGUCCAGCGCUCAACGCUGGGUUGGCACGUGAUACUGUCAGGCUUGAGGACUGGAGAGGUGAGCGGAAUUCCCGGUGUAGUGGUAAAAUACGUAGAUAUCGGGAGGAACACCAGCGGCGUAGGCGGCUCACUAGACAGUUUCUGACGCUAAGAUACGAAAGCGUGGGGAGCAAACAGGAUUAGAUACCCUGGUAGUCCACGCCCUAAACGAUGGAUACUUGGUGUUGGGGGGUUACCUUCAGUGCCGGAGCUAACGCGUUAAGUAUCCCACCUGGGGACUACGGCCGCAAGGCUAAAACUCAAAGGAAUUGACGGGG
rnacentral:rRNA from 1 species